CCCGGCGAGAGACCCUCUUCAUCUAUUGCUCGGGAGAUACCACAGAACACUUAAGCGAGACCUUACCUCUUAUUGACUUGAACAAACUAACUCCCGUCUUUGGUGAUCUGUACCUCAAAACACACCUUAGACUAGCAAAUUGAAGUUUCAUUGAAUGAAUGAAAAUCAUAAUCUGAAUAAGAGUAUGAUACUAGACGACUAGAGAAGAGAGAGGCAGGAAAGCCAGAUCGGACUGCUUAGAGGAGAUAAGGGACUUAUCCUUCUAUUCUAAGAAACCAACCAAAAGGAAAUAGUUCACCUUGGCAGAGUGACCUGUGGAAAGAUCGAUCUCUGGAUCAUAUGAAAUGCAGUUCAGUGGAAUUCAUGUGAAAAUAGAAAUCUGAAAACAAAGAAAUCAGAGAAUGAAAUUGAAUUCAAUUAGCGAAGAUUGGUCUACUGGUUUACGAGAUUACUGUUUAGCAAACGAGCUGAGAACAAUCAGUCUCACCUACGAUCCUACGAUCUGCUCUAUAAGACACCUCAAUAAGGAAAAAAAAAGAAAGGAUGAGGCAACGUAGGCAGUUCCAUCCACAUCUAUUCAAUUCGUUAUUCCAUUCCGGCUGCUUUCAGUCGAAUCUUCGUUCUCGGUAGUUUCUUCCUAGCCCCCAGUUUGGCUCACUUCUCUUUCCUUCUUUUAUGCGGGCAUCAUGAGGCAGGAUUCGAGUCAACAAUUGACCCAGCAUCCUUGUCAUCACUUAAAGAGCCAAAGCCCGUGGACGGGGUGUAAGCCAUUGAUUUAUAACCAGUAGACCGGAAGGUGGGAGGCACUACCUUUUUAUGGUAAAUGGUAUGAAAUUGGCACCGGAAUUCCUUCUUAAGCUGCUGGUUAGGGUGCUCCCUAUAGAAAAGCACGCAGCGAGAAAGACAGUACCAUACGAGGUAGCAUAGAUCGGUAAGGCAAGAGGGGACGAGCGUGUCUCAGCACUUAGACAAGAUGGAGAAGAUUCUCAAAUAAUUUGUAGCAGUGAGAGUAAAAAUGACUGAUCGUGAUCAGUGACCGGAAAGUCUGCUGAAGUCGUUUGAGUCUUUGACAACCACUCUCUCCCUUUCAUCUCCUCUCUUGUGUCGAUUGUUCUGCUAGCUCCUCUUUGGACCGCCUUCAGAAAGGAAUCAGGUAAGUAAGCCUCCUACUAUUUAUCACCACUUCCAACUAACAAUACAGAAUUAAACCAGUUCCAUAACAAUUCCAGACUGCAAGAAAGCAAGAUACGAAAAUGAUAAAAUAACGAUCGGUUUGGGAGCGCCUGGGGGGAGGAAAGAGGGAAGGUGACCCAUGACGCCAGGGAUUUGUGCAUAUAUAUCCCACCCCAGCUUUGCGAAUGAGAGGGUCUGAUUCUGUGACUCUAGAAGAUAGAUCUAUCUCCUGCUUUGUAUCGGCUCGACUCCUCAACUCGGUCUCGAGCUCUCUAAUACGAUCCUGAAGUAUGGAUUUAAGAAACCUCGCCAUGAUGACUCAGCAAUCUACAAGCCCAUGGGUACUCUAUAAACAAGGAUGCCUACAAGCAUCUAUAAGCCAUCCAUACAAGAAGAGAAUACUUAAAGAAGUGUUGCGCCCCCGGAUAAUAGUAUCCAGGUCUCUCCUCAGCUCGGCAAUCCGUGAAGCAGCCUGACCUCCUCUGACCACGAGUGGCGUACUCUGAUAUGAACCCGUCCUUGAGGUAAUUGUAGAAAUCAUAAUACCAUGGUUCCCAUCAUCCUUGUAAUCUUCCUCGUCUUGACUGGUGAUAGUUCAUCAUGUUCCAACUCUCGAUAGUCUUCAUCCAAGAAGAUGAAUGAGUCCCGUUAGAUGGAAGGGCUCUCUGUGGCUGGGAUGUCCAAUCUCUCGAUGACAAGCAACUCUGUGCUUCGGUGUACUAGCAUGGGUACUAGAGUGGCUGAGUAUUUAUUCCAUAAGGGCUAGCGAAUCAGCCAAGCGAUUGUAGAUUCUCGAAACAUCGGUGAAGGUGAUCUCCCUAAAGUGCUUGAUCAGGUCAAUGGAAAGUUCUUGGUACGAUAUGAGUUGGGGCUCUUUGGUCUUCCAUUCUCCCCCUUACUCAUCUCUUAAUCUAUAAAAAAAGCCUUUCCCCUUUUCAUAAUAAUAAGGUAAGCAUCCAGCUCUUGAUCCACAGCUACUCUUUCUUUACCCUUUCUAUUAGACGCAUUUGACCACUUGCCAACCCCACCAAUACAAUAGAUAGGCCCUUUAACCCUACAAUAACCAAUCAAUGAUUAGGUUCUUUAACCAUUCAGCCAUGGAUGGGUUCAGAUUACUGUUACUUGCAAUUCAAGGAAUUCGCCCUUCGCCUCGCCAAAGCCUUGAUUCGCCUGACCAGUGAACCUUCUAGUUGUACUCGGUUUUUGUCACUUAAUUGCAUUAGAGAUCAUUGACUUAAGCAACGACUUGAAGACAAGUUGGCACUGACUUGAAGACAAGACGACACUGGUUGUGCAGUGAUUCGUGAGGGCUCUAAGAGCUCGGGGGAACAACAAUGCGUUCUAACCUUCCUGUUACACUGAAUGUUGAGUGACUAUAGAAGGAGGAGGGCUCCAUAAAGCCUAUAGAAGCUCAACAGCUAUACUUGGAAUGACGUAAGACCUGACUUUAGAAAGCAUGGAUUUUUCAUAAAAGGGCUCAAUCCCAGACCUAGGGCGAGAAAUGCUUUUUGAUUGAUUCAGGGCGCAGCGAAGCCAAAUUCAAUCAAGGAAAAGGGGGGUGAGAGAAGGAAAAGUAAGACAUUGGUGACAAGGAUGGCUCAGGUCAGUCUUCCACUCAUAAUCACCAUCAGGAAAAAAAGAAAGGAAGGUAGGGAUAAAAGCCACGUGAGCUUCAUUCUUUCCUAUGCAAUGGACCUCACUAGGAAAGGGAAUAAAAAAGGUCAUCCACUCUCUCACAGAAAAGCUAAGUGAUGAGGAGCCAGAUGAGAUUAACUUCGUUAACUACCUUUCUUAUGAGGAGUCACAUUGGGAGAUCUAGACAGUUGAUCAAUGCCAUGGCCAAACAAAUCUAAACCCAAGUCGGUGAGAAAAGGACUCAUCCACGUUAAAGUGGGAAUCAAUGGGAAGAAGACUCGGCCAUCGUAAACAGGGGUCCUACCCAUAACUUUCUCUUAGUAGAGGAGGCAAAUACACUAUAGUACCCCAAUAAUCACAAAGCGAAGUGGGAGCCGGCGACGCACAAGAGCCUUGACAUGAUCUUGGAUCACUAACCCGAUCCUUCUUUCAUGCAAGACAAAAUUACCUUCGAUCGAAGAGCAAGACUCACUGAUCAAAUGGACCAAGCCGGGUGGGAUUGAGCUAGCGACUAGGGCCCAUACCCUUCUAUACAAGACCGGCUAAAGGCGCUAAGACUCCUCUUUCGGAGCCAGAUUGAGCAAUGGCUACAAGUAAGCGUCCGUACUUCUCUACGUAGGCCCAGCGUUUAGAGCUCGAUUUCGAUCCUUUGAAUCUUGGACCCAUCACCCAUCACUAGCUGGCCUUGCCAAAAACCUUGACUUGAGACUACGAGCUUAAUUUUAAGGGGACUUCAUCUUGAAAGAGCGAUAUCUUCCUCUAGGCGUCCGUCCAGUACUUCUCCGAUUAGCAUGUCUUAGGCUCAACUAAGUAAGAAUAGACGAGUUGCAUUUUCACCUUUCCUAUAGGCGAAAAAGUCCUCUUCCAACUAAAGUUAUUACUCCAAGCCAUUUAAUGGCAUCGCUUCCUCCUAUUCCUUCCGAACUUUCCCUUGCUUACCUUGCUACUUUCAUAGCAGAAACCUUAACUACUUCACUCGAUUCCUACCUUGGGUCACGAGCGAUGUCAAGUCUUUUACCCAGAUGAAUACUAAGUGAAAGGGGAUCGAGGGUGUGGGGUCUACUAUUCCCCCAACGGAGUUGGUUGCCACUCUGUCAAUACCAUAUUAGAUCCAAUUCCAGAAUCUUCAUCACCUCCACGGGGAGGAACUUCUUUCUGUGGAAUGCAGACUCAGUAGAGGUUGAGGUCUUAUCCCUGAACUCCCAAAUAGUAAAUGUGGUCAUCAAGACCAGCUUAAAUGCGGCUUUCUUCUAUAAAGCACUACUUCCUAGCCAUUGUAGGCUUGCUCCGCACAGGCUACACAAGCCAGGGUCGGAGAACUUAAUUGGCUUUCAAUCUAUUCAGGUAUAGGUGGGAUGGAGACAAGUACUAGCUCCAUUAGAUGGCAGGCUUUCGGGCAGCUAGUUGGCCUUUUAGAUCGGCUUACUCUUUCUUCAUUGGAAGUGGCUAGAGAUACACGAGGGAGUUAAAGCCUCUCUAAUUGAAUGCGGGUCUUGUGUUAUAGGAGCCGAAGCUGCCUAGUCCUUUAGGUCAGUCAGUUAGCCCACUACGCCAUCAGAGACUGGAUUAGAGGUUGGACCUCCACUUGCGGAAAGAUCACCUAACCCUUUUGGAAUGACUUGAGCCUCACUUACAUCCCGAGGUCUUAGAUUGAGUUUCCGCAUUCUUAGAAAUACCGACGAUUAGGAAUAGCGGUGAAUUAGAAGAAUGGGGAGAAGAAGAACUGAGAAACCUGGUAGGAUUCGCCAACUUCUCCCCCUUGGGCCUUGUCUUACUGCGGUUCCUUCUGGAAAAGAGAGUCUUCCCACAACUCGAGGAAAGAAUCCCGGGGCUGAAAUAUGCUUGCUGGAAAGGUUGGAUCAUCAAGCCUACCCCUCUGUUAUCCACGUUGAGACCCUUGGAAUGGGUUAGCCCUCAAUCUACUGGAGAUGAAUCCGAGGAUUACGAAUCCUACACGUACGUACUUGACGAAAGAUAUCCCUUGAGGGGCGAAAUCGUCCCUGGAGGCGUCGGAGUGGACUUUGAAGGAACGAUGAUCGCCUUGAACAUGAAAGGGGAAGUAGUAAUUCAUGAUAGUAAAACGAGAGUCACUCUAUCAGGCACCAACAGAAUGGAAAUUAGCUUUCCCCGCGCAUAGCUUUCAUUAUAACGAGUCUCCUUUUUAAGGGACUCCUUUGAGUGACAGUUUUGGUAGGGGGACGGGAGCGAGAGCUUUACCUAUGACCGAGAAUUGCACCUUCCUACAGGAAAAAAACUAAAAAAAAUGAAAGACUUUAGGGCUCCUGGUCCUCCACCCCACGAGGAAAGACAAAGCUUUCUCUUUUCAUUCGAGUAAGCUUCACCUCUUCCUAUCGUCUCCUCCCUUUGAUCCUUCGAUCCGGGAUAUGCCAAGUCUUACUCUCAUAUUAGUAGUAGUUGUAGCGACAUCUCCCUUCCUUUGUAGGGGAACGAGCAAUGCCCGGGGAAGAACCCUAAACUCAGUCCUCUCCGUCUACCUCUUUACCAGCUAAGCCACUUACCCCUCGUCUAUUCACUUCUUUAAUGCGGGAAAGGGGGGAUAAGCUUGAUCGAGGAAAUUUUCUUUACUUCGAGUGAAAGGAAAUCAAUCUCUAGCUUUCGACUAAGCUAACUAAGCUAAGAAGCAGAUAGGAUCAAUCUAACUAAAAAGGAUAUUCCCUAGGGCCCAAGGUUUGAAGAUGCUCGACCGGAAAGAAAAUUCAAAUCAAAAAGAGGAAAGAACUAAAGCUUGUCCGGAGACUGAGGGCAGGCAAGCUUGAAGAGGUUUAGGCUUAGGCCGGAUAAAGGUGCAACGAGAACAGAAUCAGUAGAAAGAUCAGGAGCAGGGAGGGAAGCUCAAGACAGAGAUCUGGGAUUCCCACGAAGCUAACUAAAGAGAAAGGGCAUACCCAGAUUGAAUAAACCAAAAGGGAGCCGGGACAAGAUGAUCGACUUCUAGUUGCAGCGGAUCCUGUGGUCCUCCUCAUCUCAUAUCAGAAGAGAGAGAAGAUGCUUGCCCAAUGGUACUAAACCGACAGGGAUAAGAGCUUUUGUACGAGACUCAAAAGGUUCCGAUCGAAGGGAAUGGCAUAUUCCAAAACCAUAUAAUGAGAAAGGUCAUACCUUUCUCCUUACUUAUUCGUCUUUCACUUCUUCUUGUGAGUAAGAUCCUAUGAGAUACCUCCUUCUAUAAGAGGAUAGGCGAGAUGCAAGACACCCGGGAUAUGGGAUAUAAGUCUUCUAAGGGAGAGGUGUGAAAGGUACGAGAGUUGCUCGACAUCAAGGUUUAGAACACACCGACGACCGGGAGUAAUUCAAUUUCAUUAGAUGAAGCCGAAGAAGGGGAUGUUCUUCUCAAAGAAAAAGACUCCCGAACCCAGGGAAAGACUUUGUUUUGCUCCCGUAGAGAAUAUCAUAAUUAGACUAGUGGUGGCAUAAAUAAACCCUACCUUAGGGGAUAGCCCAUAGGGAACGUCUUUUCGCUGCUACUAAACUAUCUCCUUAUAGCCCCAACUCUUCGACAGGACACAAGGACACAUUCCUACUAAAGGCUACCCAGCUUCUUGUGAGCAAACUUUACCUAUUAUCUUGGGAAAGCCAUAUGUGGAAAUAAGGGAAGAAGCAGGAGAUUACCAUAUAAUUUUGGCAUCGACGGCUAUAAAAGGGAGCUAUUCAAGCAGAGAGCACUCAAACUCCAAACCCAUUAUUCUUUCUAUUUCUCUAAGAGAUAGCACCAGCGUCGACUCUUCUCUUUCAAAAGAUUUGACUAUGAAAAGAAAUCCACCCAAUGAGCAUAUACUAGAUGAGCUAAGGCCAAUCUGCAAGCAUUCGAUGCCUAUUUUUAUAUGAUUCAACCUCCUCUUAAAGCCAUCCUUUUUAGCCAGUAGCCAGUAGUUUACCUGCCAGCUUUCGGAUCUAUCUUUGAAUCUCCUAUUUUCUUACUUCUUCAUACUUCAAACUGUAUUACUUAACUUGAGAAAAGUACGUUUUUUGUUUCCCUGUUAGCAGUCUUCCCUUCCUUUCAGCUGUAGGCAUGUCAGCCAGUGAGUCCUUUCAUUGAAGCAUGUCUAGUUCUAUUCUAGAAUCCAGUUGAGAGAAUCAUGUCAGGAAGGAACGAGUGUAACGAGAAUCAGAACGAGCAGAAAACUUUCCACGAGAGGUCAAAGUGGUUAGGCGGUCAGUCAAUCGGCUUGAUAGUUAGUGUAUAUUUGGAAGUACUAGAUCUCUUUCCUUCUAGCCUUUCCGCACCGCACAUCUUAGAUCCUCUUCUGCCAUCCAGUCUAUCGAGCAUUUAGGUUCGGAAGCAUUAGAUCUUUCGUUUCAGAGGUUGCAAGGGAGAAAGAAGGGAGUUUCGAGCCAUUGAUGAGAAUGCUCACCCGCACCGCCUUCUACUCACAGUAGCCGCCCAUUUGUACGAAUAGGAGAGGCGCCAAGGGAUGAGUGUGAGUCGCUUCACCUGUGAUAGAUUGAUUGACUCUGCCGUGGAAGUAGAGGUGGAAUCAAGGGGAAAGAAUCCACCAGAUCGUACCGAAUCAAUUGGCAUUUCCUGACCAGCCAUACCAGUAGAAGUUGUGCAGCUAGCCAGGCUUUAUGAAGUAAGAUGACAGAGGGGAAUUGGGCGUCUCAGAUCGAGGUAGUUCAGGUGCCUGGUGAUAGGACAUUUGAAUGAAUGGAUUCCCGGUAAAGGAUGUAGCCCAGCUUCACCUGUGAUGGUGAGACUUUGGAUGCUUCGCUAUAGAAUAGAUCGAUCCAGUUCCCUUUUCUUUUUCGGUGCACUCGCUUUAUAUCUCCAACACACAAGGAAGGCGCGAAAGGUCUUUCAAUUCAAAGCAGUCGAUUGAAGCGGUAAAGGCGGGAAGGUCUUAUCUGAUAGAGAUCCUGUUAAGACUAUUUGUGUCGCUUUCGGGAAAAAAGGCACCUGACAUUUAUCCUUCGCCCUCGAGCUUUGGAUCUUGAUCUCGCUCUGUUUUUAGAUCUUGAUCUGUCAUUUUGGUUUCAACCAUUGUUCUGCUUCGGCACAUUGUUCUGCUUCUUCCUCAUUUAGCUGGACUGGCUCUUUAGAAUCAAAUGAGAAUGGUGAAAGAAUCAUCAUCAUCAUCUAAUUCAACUCUUCCCUUUGAUCGUAACAACGCAACAUGUGAUGCUAGAGUAGCCCUUUUUGCUGAUUCUGCUGCUGUCACUGAGCCGGCUCUAACAUUUGCAUGAUCUCUCUUUGUAACUCUAGCGGAAGAUGCUCGCCCAAUGAUUGAUUCACCAGCUAGUAGUUAGUUGGUAGGGACAAGCUCACCCGUGUGUAAGGUAAGAGAGGCAUAAUCCUCCUAUACUGAGAUGGACAUUGCAGAUCUUGCUUCUUCAGAUCUUUCUGACUCUCACUCAUAGGCAGAUGAUUCGUAUGUAGAUGCUCAUUUCCUUCACGCCUUUGAUCUGAGGCGAGGGGAUUAGUCCUAGUCUAUUCAACUAGAAAAGUAGGCAGCCAGACCAGAGUAGCUAACAGGGAACAUGCCAGAGUAGACAUCGGUGGAACCGAGGAAGAAUUCAUUAAUAACGUAAUUCAAGGGUUCGAUAGUGAAAAAGUAGAUUGAUUGUCCAGCUAUAUCAGCUUCGACAAAGUGCCUUUCAGACCGAACUUCCCUAGCACAUGCAAGCAGAACUGCAUUGAUCGAUGAAUCUCCUGAUGAGAACUACACCAAGGCUUCGGUUUCGAUAGAGAAUUAACUAGCUUGCGAGGGAGUCGUUGCAUCUCUUCCCAUUCUUUCUUAGGAUUAAGAAAUGGCUGCAAAUGGCUUUCUUUAAGCCGAAAAGGAUAAAUAAUUCCAAGCCCAUCGCUCUUAUUUAAAUAGGAGUUGUAGUUAGGAUUCAGACCUGAUUGCUAUUGGGGUCCACGGCUUCACGCAAGCAAGGAACACAAGGAAAAGGCACCCAGCAUUAGUCAGGUAUAUCUAUCCCUUCUUUGGCUCUUUUUUGAAUUCUUUCUCCCACACACAUUCAUUUCAGCAGGUUGCGCCCCUAACUACCGCACAACUAAGACCCUUGGCUCUUCACACAAUCAGUCUCAUUUCCUUCCUCGGACAAAAGUACUCCAGAUAAGGUGUUCCCCUUUCUAUAUGUACUUUAUAUAUGUAUCCUGAACAGUAUGGAAAUCUCUUCCUCUUUCGAUUGGCAAAGAAGCAAUAAUAGUAAAGUGAUAAAAGAAGCCCACAUCACCCACCUCCCAGACCAAGGGAAGAAGUGCUCUCUAUAGCCUUUAUUUAUUAUGUGUUAAGAAAGUGUGGGCAAAAGGGAUAUAAGCAGCAGUGGAAUCCAGCGGCAGGAUAGACACGAAAGCGGGAUUCAAUUACUUAUGAAAGUGAAGGGAUGAAAUCAAGAAAUUGAAUAGGAGAGGGACCCUAGGCUUUCGCCUUAGAAGUUCUUCUCCGCACGAUCCAGUGCCGUUGCAGCCAAUGAUCAAACCAGUGAGUGUGCCAUUCCAGCGCGUGUAAUUCCUUCUGCUCUUUCCGGUAAGUGAGUAGGGCCAGUCCCACACGAUUAGCAUAGAUAAGAUAAGUCAGGUAGGAUUGGUCGGAAGAAGGAUUGGACAUUUCCAUUGAUCAACUCAUCCAAUCCAGUCUAUGAUCAGGCAAGGGGGCCUAAAAGUAGACGUAACUAUAGGCUUAAGCUCGCUUAAAUGCAAUUUAUCCUUAGGCCGAAUACCUAGUUGAGAAGGGUCCCUAAUGUGAGACCCUUCGUCCAUUCAUUCAAGAUCAAAAGCGGGCCUAAUUGAAUAAUCUCAUCGAGGAUUGCAUGUGAAAAGAUUGGAUCUUCGAAAUCCCCAAUCGUUCGUUACUGAACCUAAAAACUCGCCGCUUAUCAUGUAAAGUAGUGUUCUCGCUAGCUGGAACGGAACUCUCAAAUGGAGGAACAAGCGUAGGCCUUCUUUGAGUAUAGCUUCAAGUAGCUCUAAGAAGUUUAUGUCUUUAUAUCCGGUUCGACACUCGGCUUUCUGAAGUUAUUGCAUUCCAGGGCGUGAAGCUUUCCGUGGACAGGACAGGGUCCGUCAACUAGCUUAGCUACCAAUUGGGGGAUGCUUUCACCUUGAAGGUAUUAACGGGCUUGAGCCAGGCCACGCAAGCAGAGGAAAGAUUAAUUAUAGGCCAGUGAAAGAGAAAGAGAAAGAUUCGCUCUUGGGCUGACCUAUGGAUAACCACACAUCCAAAUAUGGGUAAGUCGAGAGCUUCUCUCUCUGCAGCAGCCUUCGAUCUAGUGUUCACGCUUCGGUUCUACUCUACUAGACAUCGGGGCCCAGAACAUGCUUCUUUUUGUGUGGUAUAGCUCCGAACUUCAGUGUCAACAACUCUAUUCCUUCUGGUGGGCAGUAGUGUAGGGUGCCUGGUUUGCUUCCCGUCAGCCAACCUGACCGUCCAUUACCUUUGAUUGAAAGCAAUCUGUCACCUUCACGGACCCUAGUUUUAAGCAGCGCAACACCUCUUUCAGGUGCUGGUACAACACGAACGGACUAAGUAACAUGAGCGGGUGUCGAUGAUAGCACUCGAGCUGGUGUAGGAAUCUGUCGCAACUGUAGUUACUCUUUUUUCUUUAUCUAUCGAGCGUAUCGGUCCAUUCUGUAUUCCCAUUCUCUUAUAAAGAAUGGGUCUCUUCCCUGGCCUCAUUGUCUCUAUAUCGAUCUCACAAGUCUCUCUGGUAUAGGGAAGGGCUCAUCUGUGAAUGAAUCCCUUUACUUUAUUCCUCUCCCAGAAGGUAAGGAACAAACCUUGAACAAGACUAAGAAAAUUGUCCUUUCCUUACAAAAAGAAGAAGCAACUACCUGCAGGUAUAAUCAAAUUAAAGACUGAUGGGUGUGCAAAAGGAAGCCCUGGCCCUCCUAGCAUUGGAGGGAUUGCAAGAGAUGACCAAGGCAAAUGGCUAUUUUCUUGUUGUGGGCACAUGGCAAAAGCAUCAAGUUUAGCUGCUAAACUUUGGGCAAUAGAAAGACGAUUAAUGCUGUUGAAGGUUAUGAAAUAAAAGAUGUCAUCCUUGAAACUUAUUCUGCAAAAGCUCUAAGUCUGAUUACAAAUGCUGAGAUUGAGUAUCACUCGUGAAGGGCUAUGCUUUAUGCGGGUACCAGAUCAAAUAACUCAUAGUGACUCCUGUUCACAGCCUUUGCCAAGGCUACUUUUGUGCAGACUUCCUAGCCAACAAUGAUAGACCUAUCAUACAUUUGAUACUAACUACGAAAGGAAGCGGAUCGAUCGAACCUAUAGUUAGUCCUCUUUCGAUCGAUUUCUUUCUCUUGACUCUUGAGGAUCUUGAUCGGCUAGGCUUCUAUGUGUUCUUCCGAACAGUUCUAGAAAAAGGCUUGGCCUAUUUCCAAUUAUUUUUGCCUGAGAGCUUGUUUGUGGGGGCUCAUGUCCGUAUUUUUGUACUUGAAUUACAUCCAACCUUCCUCUAUAUGCUAUUCUCUUAAUCCUUUAUUCUUGUUUUCUAAGUAGGGGUUGGAGGCGACUCUAGUACAUUCGCUUUCCUCUGGCAGCACAAUGCCAAUUCUUAAUUGCACGGGGGUGAAGGGGCCUUUCGCUCGGUCUUUAAAGCCUGACUUUGCUCUUCCUUUAUUUUGUUGAGUGGUGAAGCUCGAAAAGAGCUAAAGGGGUGGAGAACCGCCAACUCCAACUCGAGUUGAAUCUUCCCGGAAGAAGGUCGUUUCCUCCAGCAAGGGAGAUGACUUCUUCCAAUUGGUUUGGGUUUCCUCUGCGCCUUGCGAGAGCUCAGAUCUAGUAGCUAAGGAAAGGCACGCUUUAUGCUGUAAUCUUUAUAUUAUGGUGUUGGAAAGGUGGGGUUGGAGUUCAUUUCCCUUUCCAGUCCAGAGGUGUUGGUUCGAGCCCAACUCGUGACCAAGCGGAGCAGAUGCCUCGAUGAAAAAAAGAGACCUUCGCGCACCGAACUAGGGCAUGGUCUCUUGCUUGCAUCUUCUCUUUCCUGUGAAAUGGAAGAUUUAGGCUCAAAAGAAGGAUUUUUCCAUUCAUGCUACCGUUCUUCCUGGGUUCGACUCCCGGCCUGAGCUGCCAUCUCUUUCUCUUUACGCUACUGGAAGCCUAUCUAUUAAUAGCUAUAUGAAAGUCGUUAUUUGCCCCACUGAAUAGAACAGUACACUUUACUCCAAGGUGGAUUGUCUUCGUUCCACAGCACAAAUAGGGCCCGAAGGGCAACCUUUCGGUGGUAUAGAAGAUCGAUGUGCCAUCUUUCUAACCACGUUCAUUUGUUGUAUGAUCAGUAGUGAAAGAAAUCUACCUUAAUAAAUAAAGAAAUCUAUUGUCUUAGAGCGAAAGUCAAGCGAAACUAGAACAUUUCUUUGAUUGAUAGGGCAGAUAGGAAGUAGGCACGCAAACCAAGUUAUAGGUUUGGAAGUUUGAAUUCGGAAAGGUAGUCAUGACCCUUGAUGCAGGAGCAGUGUAUGAUGAAUAAGGCUUAGCUACUCCCUUAGUGGGUAUCACCCCCAAAUCCUGGUACUUCAUUUCCUCAAGAUUUGGUGUUCACUUAAUCAAAACAUUCAUUUCUAACUACCCAAUUAUAAUAAAAUUGAAUAAUAAAAACCUGCCCAUACAGGAUUAAACUUAAAUAAAAAUCUCCCAGGUUGUCUAACCUUUAAUUACAAACAUUCAAAUGCGGAAAAUUAAAUAAACUUCAUUACAAUCUUUGAAUCAAAGUCUGAUAAUAAAACUAUCAAAACUAUUACAAGUCUUCAUCACUUGUACAUUUUUCCAUUCCCUUUGCUAGUAGUAGGUUCACCUACCUUCUCUUCUUUAGCUGCAAUGAGUUUAUAAAUAUGCAAGAAUGAGUAAAACAAUUGCUCACUAGGUAUAAUAUGGAAUCAACAGGAGUAUAACAAUAAUAACUGUCGAAAUAGGCUCAUCAAAAGUGAAUAGUACUCUAUCAAUAAUAAUCACAAACUGAAAUCCCAAAAUAUGGAAAAUAUACAUCACUGAGGGUCGUAAGACCAUGAACUACAUCCACAAUUGCAAGUAAUCUUUCAACUCCAACUUUAACAGUCAUAAGACUAUAAGGACCUCGUACUUAGAGAUACAAAUCAAGUUGUACUGUCAUCAUUAUAAGCUUGUAAAAUGUCUAUUCACUUGUAGCAUUAUUUAUGAGCACCAAUUAUUAUCUUGAUCCGUGUGUAGCUUGUCUUCUUCAGGAUAUUUGAUUUAGAUAUUAAUUUGGUAGUCAAUAAAAAGGGUAUUACCUUCUUCCAUGUCCCUUGAUUAGUAAGAAAAUAACACAACAUUAUUGUCUUUGUGUAUUGAUUUUGGCACUAAGUGCCUCUGGUGACAUAUUUGCUUCAUUUUCCUAACUUGCUAUUAUUUUUAAAUAUGUGCAGGAAGACUGCUUCUACGACCUGCCUUACAAUACUGGGUAUCAAAUUUUCGUGCUACGUUUACGGAAGACAAGGGACGAAAUUAUGAAGUGUACUCUCUCUAUAUAUGUAGAUAUAUACUUUGAUUGAAGAACUGUGGUAGCUUUAGAUGGUUAAUUGUAAAGAUAAUGAAUGAUUAUGUAGUGGAUGAUUUUAUUAAGUUAAUAAUAUUUUAGUUUUUUGUAUUUUUGCCAUUAUUUGCUAUGGGGACAUUGAGCCAGCCAGGUACACAAAAAGAAUGUCAAAUUUUGAUUUGGCAACAAUAUAAUUCGUUACCAAAGCAUUGAACAAGUUUUAAUAUAGCAACAAUUUUUUAUACAUUUAGCAACAAAUUUUCGUUGCUAAUGGCAUUAAAAAUAUAAUAUUUGGCAACGAAAAAUUAACCUAAUAACAACGGAGAGGAUAUUGUUGCUAAUACUAAAAUAAAAGGCAACAUUUUUUAUCGUUGCAAAUCAUAUCAACUUUCGUUGCACAUAUAAAGAAACGACAACAUAUAAUGUCGUUGCUAAUCGACGACUUUCGUUGCUAUUGAAAAAUAACCAGCAACAAACAUUUUCGUUACUGAUUCAGCAUAAUGUCGUUGCCAAAUAAUAUAAUCAGCAACGAAAAUCGUUGCUAAAAAGUUUACAUUCCGCAACGAAAGCAAGCUUAGGCAACAAUUUUCAUAAUUUACUGCAACGAAAAAUGUCGUUGCAAAAUGGUGUCAAUUGCAACGAAAAUGCAUGGUCGUUGUAAAAAAAAAAGAGUUCAUUUCGUUGCCAAUUAGCAGGCUUUUGCAACGAAAUGGGAUUUUUAGCAACAAAAUUUUAAUUAUUCUGCAACAAUACAUUUUGUUGCUAAAGGAUCAAUGUCUCUGUACGAAAGCCAAAUUUCGUUGCAAAAUGUAUUAGUUUUGGCAACAAAAAAAAUACGUUCGUUGCGGAACAAUUAGCAACGCUCAUUGCGCAACAAAAGACGUAACGACAGUAAAGUCGUUGCCAAAACCCUUUAGCAACAAAAUUUGGCACCUUUAGCAACGAAAAUUGGUUGUUACUGAAGCCCCAUUUUUUUGUAGUUGUAGUUGCUCUUUUGUCUUUAUCUAUCGAGCGUAUCGGUCCAUUCUGUAUUCCCGUUCUCUUAUAAAGAAUGGGUCUCUUCCCCUGGCCUCGUUGUCUCUAUAUCGAUCUCACAAGUCUCUCUGGUAUACGCAAGGGCUCAUCUGUGAAUGAAUCCCUUUACUUUAUUCCUCUCCCAGAAGGUAAGGAACAAACCUUGAACAAGACUAAGAAAAUUGUCAUUUCCUUACAAAAAGAAGAAGCAACUACCUGCAGGUAGAAUCAAAUUGAAGACUGAUGGGUGUGCAAAAGGAAGCCCUGGCCCUCCUGGGAUUGGAGGGAUUGCAAGAGAUGACCAAGGCAGAUUGUUAUUUUCUUUUUGUGGGCACAUGGCAAAAGCAUCAAGUUUAGCAGCUAAACUUUGGGCAAUAGAAAGACGAUUAAUGUUGUUGAAGGUUAUGAAAUAAAAUAUGGCAUCCUUGAAACUUAUUCUGCAGAAGCUCUAAGUCUGAUUACAAAUGCUGAGAUUAAGGAUCACCCGUGAAGAGCUAUGCUUUAUGCGGGUACCAGAUCAAACAACUCACAGUGACCCCUGUUCACAGCAUUUGCCAAGGCUACUUUUGUGCAGACUUCCUAGCCAACAAUGAUAGACAUAUCAUACAUUUGAUACUAACUACUGAAGGAAGCGGAUCGAUCGAACCUAUAGUUAGUCCUCUUUCGAUCGAUUUCUUUCUCUUGACUCUUGAGGAUCUUGAUCGGCUAGGUAGGGGAGAUCUCAUAUCCCAGUUCGAGCCAAGACGAGGAUACAGAAGUGGAUGGAGGGAUUGCCCUAAUACUUAAGUCAGGCUAAAAUGGAGAUAUGGUCCGAAAUAGGUAUGGGUAGGAUUUGGAUGCUAUGAAGGAGUCGACCAAUACUUAGCUUAGGUAUUUGGCUCAGGAAAGAAGGGGAAGAGCGGAUAAGACAUAAUAUAGGUUGUUCGGCUCUGCGAUUCUCCCAUAUAGAAAGAGUUUGGGAAUACAGGGAUGAGGUGCUGGCACUUCGUCUAUGGGCAUUAUAGAAAUGAAAGGUUUAUCCGCUCAUAAUGAUUGUAGAGUCUUUUCGGGUUAGAGGUCUAAUAGUAGUCACAUCAAGUCCUCCCCCUCUUACUCAGGAUAGCUAGCGAGAGGAAUACUACUGAUUAUCCAUGAAAGAAGGCUUUGAAGAAUGAAAAAAAAUCUUAUCUAAGGAUAGAGAGCCCCCACCCGCCUUUUCAAAUACGAGCGAGUGAGUGCUUUUUCUGCUAUGAAUGAAUGACCUCUCCAUUUAUUUUCAAGCUUGCUCUUCAAACCGGCCUAUCACUCUCCUCUAUGAAAAGGUUCUUCUAUAAUCAUUCUCAAUAAGACAUCUAUUCCCCUUUCAAAUGAAAAGAUAACUAGACUUUUCUCUUCAUCAUUGAAAUCCGCCAUUCAAUCGCAGUACGGUGCUCUAAAAAAGCUCAAUCCUCUAACGCUGAAACAAAUAGAUCAGGAAUUCGACCUGGGAUCCGCCCGUUCCGAUCCUUGCUUACUAAACCGUUGCACCCCCGGAUAUGUAUGUUGGGAGAACCCCAGGAUCCUUCCGUGUGGAAGAGAAGGAAGAAAGAAAGCGAACACGAAUACUAAAAUCGGUUCAUGAGGACCUCAAAAAAAAGGGGAUAGAGAGCACGAAACGGGCUUUCCAAGCAUAAACCAAUCCCUACCUAUACAUUCCAUGGCAACAGAUAGAAGGCAAUUUUGUCGUUGUUAUUAACCCCAGGCCCAUUCCCGUUCCCAAUAAUCUACAUGAAAAGACUACCCUGAUUUCUGAAUGAACCGAGGGAGAGUCCAGGCAUGAAAAAACUUUUAUAUGCUCCGGGUAUUUCCAAGUAUGUAUCAUCUGCUGCGUUAUCCACUGCUUUAUCCGCCGUCUCCGCGGCCGCCAAAAGCCUGCCCUCUCUCAGAUAUUGAGUGGGUUGACCCGGGGAUCCGGACGAAACGUCCAACAAGCAGAAUAGAAGUUGACCACAAAGCCAUCUCUGUGGGAGGAUGCUACCCAUAAGGACAUCUCGGGCAUGGGAAGGAAAGGCGGCGGACAACCGACUGAACUGGGGAGCCUAAACGGCAUUGAGGAUGAGUCCAACGGUCGACAAACGACUUCUAUCUAUAGGUGCUUUCAUUAUGGAUCUAUUGACUUGUCACGAUUGAUUGCUCACACACAAUUAGGUUAGGCAGGCUUGGGGAGGUGAUCUGAAUCGCUAUCGAUACGAUGCGGGGCCGGUUUGCUGACCGUAACGAACUUUACUCUGCCCCUAAAAAAAAGAGCGGGCAGACCUUUGACCUAGGAUGGGGAGGGAUUGGGGUCACUUUGCUUUAGGACUUUAGUUCAUAACAAGGCUCGAAGACCUCCGGCUGGAUUUGAAAUGGAUCAGGUAGGGCAUCCGUUUACGGCGUGGGUGGGAUUAGCAGUUUUCUCUAUUAUUUCCUUCAAUGGUAAGAAAUCUGCAUCCGCGGGGCAUAUGGUAGAAAGCCAAUCUACAGUAACUCUAAUUGCUCCUUCGGAUCACUAAGGAAAAUCUUGACUCACACAUACCGCAGUGUAUUCUUGUCAACUCACAUAGUCGCACCUACCAGCAACAAUACGACUACUCCCUGCACGCCGGCGCUAUUUAACGACUUGGUUCGCCCAAUACAAGAACUACAACCCAACCUAGCUUAAGGCUAAAGUCGCGGACUACGCCCCCGUGAGAGCCCUCUAUUUGACUAGCAUACCCCCUCCCCCCAUACCUUCAUAUUUGGGAAUGAUUUACCUUCGGAUUCAAAUAAUAACGCAUAAUGGCAGUACUCCUUCCCAUUUCUUCUUUUAUGAUUUUAUCUACUUGAAAUGCUUACAGGUAAGUGUGGAGAAGGUACCCAGGGGACCAAACAAAACGGCAUUGAAAGGUCUUCAAUUAAAGCUUCGUCCUGGCUAAAGAGAAUAAAGAAAAGCUAAAGGUAAGGAUUUUGAGAAUAUGCAACUCCCCUUUAGUUGUUGUCUUAAAUGAGUUCCUCUAUUCAUUUUACUUAUUAUUAGUUAGGAAUUUCUUUUUAUUUAAAAAAUUUAGGAAGAUUGGGGAACUGUCUUAAGCCUGUUGAAGCAAGUGUAACAAGGGGACUCUCCCAAGAAAAACCCGAGUGAAACACCUUCCAGAGCGAACUGUUUUCUUUUGUUUAAUCUUCCACUAUUCUUAAUUUAUGCUUCGCCCUCAAGAUAGAAAGUCGAUAUAAUAGCUUUUUUAGAAUACUUAACUCUUAGUCUUUUUUCUUCUUGCUCGUUUCCUUUAAAGCUUCGCCAGUACUGAAAGACGAGUAAAGAUUGCUAAAGCAGACUUAAGGAAAAUACCCCACCUUACCAGAUUUGUGACAAAAGGAAAGGGUCGAAAGACCUAUUUGAUGAGUUUCCUUAUGAGUGAGUUCGUAGGUGCCUUUCCUUUAAUUUAAGUCGAAUGUAGCAAAGGGAUUCUCCAAAGAGAAGCUUUAGAGGGAAUAGGGGUGAAACUACUUUUAUGAGCUUUUUCAGUAAUGACCGACUUUAUUAGCUGUAUGAUUAGUGGCUUAGCUGUUAGCUGUGUAAAAGCUACGGUCAAAAUAAAUCCCUUUUGAAAAUAAACCACUAAUACGCCUUAGGUACUCUUUUAGGUCUGUGUAAGGCGGAGGGAAUGGAAUGCAUGAGGCUGAAAAGCCGUAGUGCGCUAGCGAGUUAGCGCAACAACUUAGUGUCUUGUUUUCUUCGCUAUUUUUUUAACAUAAGGUUAAACGAAAGCGGUUGCUAAUGCUUAUAGCUUGCUUCUGUCCUUAGUCAAUUUUGGACUGAAACUGUUCUGACUGCCGUAUAUUUUUUGAACCGAAUACCUUCCUCUGUCAUCUCUGGUCUGUCUCUUUUUGAGAGAAUCUUUUAUACCCCGCCUGACUAUGAAGAGCCCUGAGUCUAUCGGGGGAGGAUGUGGUGGUAACCCCCGCAGCUUCGUCUAGAUCCGGGCGUCCAACCGUGCAGGAAGACUAACCCUAGCCACUAUAGCGACCCCACCCCCAACUCUAGCUGAGAAGCACCCCCCAUCCACUUCCCCCUUUCUGUGUGCCCAAAAGCCUGCCCGAUUUAUGAGCCCCUUUCCGAUUACCUCACCCAAUCUCAUGAGAAGCAAGCCCUGCCUUAACCUGCCCCCAGAUAGCCAGCCCUCACACGGCUGCUGGCAUUGCUAAAUGCUCCGCCACGAAGCAAGCUCUCCCGAAUAUGACAGAUGUGGAAGUGGGGAAGCCGGAAGUUACUAAAGAAGUCAGAGGAAGAAAGUCGUUGGACAACUGUAUACACGAGGGUACUUUAGUAUUCUGAGAAUUGGCAACAUUGACGAAAGGGGAAAGGGUAGGAAACCCCUUUUAUAGGUGUAGAUAUACUAAAGUAGUCGGCCGUUCCCGUAACCAAGUUUUUCUUUCUCACUCCUUAUCUACUUUUUCUGAAGUGUGGGGCAAACGACGCCCUCUACUUCUACUUCUAACUAAAGGCGAAGAGCCGGCAUUGCAAGCUUUUAGAGAGCCCCAGCCCGUUUGAGCCGUUGCGAGCCGGAAAGCGUACCGACAAUUUGAGUCGCGAAAGCGCCGCUUGCUUAACUAAAUUAUAUUAUUAGAAUUUUAAUAAUAAUAAUAGAUAUAGAAUAUUCUUAUUCUAUAUCUAUCUAUAAACAAUAAAAAAAUAAAAUCUUUUUUUUUAUCCUAUUGUUCAUUCCUGGAAAGAGGAAGAAGCGGAUAGAGCAAAGGCCUCCUCUUUCCGUCCGCUCUUCCUGAAGUGAGCGAAUAGCAUGCAGAGAUCCGUAGGGGCUUAUAGUUUAAUUGGUUGAAACGUACCACUCAUAACGGUUAUAUUGUAGGUUCGAGCCCUACUAAGCCUACCACCCUCUUCUCUUCACCUGAUACAAGGCAGUCGAAGUUCCCGCCGCCCUGCAGAUCUCAAUCUAGCAACGACACCUGGAACCACACUGCUGUCGCUGCCCUUUGGGCACGCCUCCUACGCUUAUCACGCACGUACGCUCUUGCAGCAUGCCCCCUCCGGGCAAUACGACUUUGUAAUAUGCGAAGCAGCUGAGCGAUAACUCUUCGAUCGCUAUAUUCUUGCGAUAGCGAAGGCGUGGUUCAUCAUCUAAGAGAGAGUAGAUACGAAGGUUCGGAUCGAAGAUCUUCGCGAGACGCCCCAUGAAUGUCGAGAAUCGAGCGUGGGGCUUGAAGACCCUGCCGCAUUUCGGCCCCGGGGCACCAUAGCAUGUCGGGAAUAAGGGGGGAUAUACUGGACGUAACCACUCCCUUGUUUGGGGGCUGCGUCGCCCCUAUCCUUUAAAUUGAUGGAUUCCCAGGUCUUUUUUAUUCUCACUGUUGGAAGAUUAUUAAAGACGACCUGGUCAGGGCGGUUCACAAUAUCUUUGCUACAGGCGCUGUUAAGCCCUAAGUUUUCAUUCAAAUUGCAUUGCCCUUAUUUUUUAUAUAGAAAGUCCUUAACAUUUUAACCCAUUCUGACCUACCUUUAUUUAUGGGAUAUUUGAAGGAGAGCUUUGUCACUUUUUCUAAUAAAUUCUCUUUAGCUCGAAGAAUGAGUUGGAUUCUCCCUAUCCUUUUUUUAAGGAACAAGGGGAUUUUGUUAAAGGACUAAUGUAGAGAAGAUCUCCUUGGCUCACGAGGUGGCUUUAAGUGAUAGGGGAUUUAAACCGAAAGGCUUAAUAGGAAGGGGGGUCAAAAGAAACUCAGGAUAUGGCAAAAGCAUCUUUUUGGAUCGAAUUGGCUUUUUAGGAGUAAUGAGAAAAUUCGGCUUUUGUGAGAAAUGGCGGAAUUUUCUACAUGGAUGUUUAUGUAAUGAACACUUUGGAGUGCUUGUGGAUGGUGUGCCACAUAGGUACUUUCCAGCUUCUCGAGGGCU
rnacentral:lncRNA from 1 species